CAGGGCUCUCGAUUGUCUGACGUCUGGCCACGCACAUGUAGCGGCGCAGUUCACAUAGAAGCACGUGUAGGAAGAGACGUCAGUAACAGGCGCGCAGGCGCAGAACAGCUCCUUGAAGACUAGCGCUGCUCCUGGUGUAGAAGAAAAAUUGCAGAUGAGAAAUAAUAAUAAAUCUUAUCAGGCAGAAAGAAGUGAUAUCGGAGAGAACACAAACUUUUCUGGAUACAGCAGACUGUGAUCCAUAUAUGCAGAGGACUUCUUCGGAUUUGGUGGAUUACGUCGAUGAAAAUAUAUGUCAUGGGUUUGGAAGUAAUGGAAAAGGAUGACAAAAACCUAGAUGUCAGGACAAAAUUCUUAGUCACCAUAAAUGCCUGGCAUUUGGGAUUUGUCAAGCCCUGGUGUCAUUAACUUAUAGCAGGAAUUUGGAAGAAUCCACUUAGGGUUUUUCCCAGGAGCAACUAUUUCUCCUAAAAAAAACAAAAAUAAAAAUAGCCAGCACAACUACCUAAUACACAGGUGCACGCAGCUGUGGCAAAUACAGAGAUAAUACAAAAAAAGAAGAUUGCAGCAGCACACUUGGUCAAAAAAUGGAUGCUCUUAGCGCACUUUUUGAUCAAAACGUGUCCCCCCAUCCACCACACAGAGGAUUUUCCAUUUUUUGACCAAGGGUGCUGCUGCAACCUUCUUUUUUUGUAUACCCCAACUAUUUCUCCUAACCUGUGUUUGUCGGUCCUGUAGCAUUUAUGUGGAUAUUGUAGGAAUUGACUUUUUGCAGUUAUCACAACACAAUUUUUUAUUUUACUUUUUGGCGUACACUGUAGAUCCAAUAUGCUGAAAUAGAAGACAGGUGCCAUUUUACUGGUAAAAAAUUGUGACUCUUCUUUUGGUAAGCGAAAAUCCCACAGCCCCGAAACGAAAUGUUUAGGACCAUAUUUAAAACUUGAAAUCAUUUUUAAUGUUUACAGUGUAUGACUAAGGCUGCACAAGACAGCCGA